rnacentral:lncRNA from 1 species
AUGGCUUUGUUUCCCUGUGGGCGCUCUGGCCCGUGCCACGGUCCCCCACACCUUCCCCGGCGCCUGGGUCUGCUGCUGCACCUUGCUCCGUCCUCUAGCCGACCCUGCACCGUCUGUGCCUAUCCUUGCCACAUCCUCUUCCUGGAGAGGUUUUUCCAGAGAAGAGGAAGAGAGAGGGGAUCUUUCAUCCGCUGGUUCACUCCACAAAUGGCUGCAACAGCAGGGGCUGGGCCAGGCCAAAGCCAAGGGGCAGGAUCUCCGUCACCCGCUUGGGUGGCAGGGCCCAGGCACGUGGGCCGUCUGCUGCUGCUGCUGUGCCAGGCGCGUCGGAAGCUGGUCACGGCAGAGCAGCGGGGACUCGAGCAGGGCUUGACGGGGGAUGCUGGUGUCCUGGGUGGUGGCUUAACUGGCUGCGCCGGCCCAGGACAAUUGCUUUCGGCUCUUCCAAAGCAGUUGGUAAUGCUGCCGAGGAUCUUGAUUGAUGGUAACAGGAUUGCCGUGAGUUGGUUUCCUGUAGACCCAGGGGACACGCCGGGUGUGGGGCGAAGGCGGGCACGUGGGAAGGGCGGGAGGUGCAGGGGCUUGGUCCAAGGGGGACACAGCUCUGCAGUGAGCUGCUGCCUUGGACACUGUUGCGGAGGAUGGCGAGCCAAGGCCUGCCCUGGGAGGGGCGGGAGGGCCAGGCCGGAGGCAGGGGCGGGGCAGAGGGGACUUGGGGGUGGGGGGAUCUGGUUUCCAAGCCUUGGAGGGAACGUCACUGACAGGCACAACCCAGGUCUGAUUCAUCCCCCUGCAGACGGCGAGACCCCUACGCCGCCCCGGCCUGCAAGCCAGGGGGAUCUGAGGCUCUGCGGGUCACCAUCCGCCACACGUGUCCCUCAGUGUCCUUGUCUGCCAGGGCUUUGGGGCUGCUUGGAGGCCCAGGCUGUGUCCAGGGCGACUCAGUGGCAGAGGCCAGAGGUCUCUCUCCCUGGGGUGACGGUGGCUUCCCAUCACACUCAGGCACCUCCAGAGACCGAGCCGAUGGACAGACAUGGCCAGGCCCUGGCCGGGGGCGGCCUCCCCUGCCCCACACAGCUGCAUGUCUCCUUGGCAAGACGGGGAGGGCUGUAG